rnacentral:rRNA from 1 species
GCCUACGGGGGGCAGCAGUGGGGAAUAUUGCACAAUGGGGGAAACCCUGAUGCAGCGACGCCGCGUGGGUGACGAAGUAUUUCGGUAUGUAAAGCUCUAUCAGCAGGGAAGAAAAUGACAGUACCUGACUAAGAAGCCCCGGCUAACUACGUGCCAGCAGCCGCGGUAAUACGUAGGGGGCAAGCGUUAUCCGGAUUUACUGGGUGUAAAGGGAGCGUAGACGGCUGCGCAAGUCAGAAGUGGCAGCCCGGGGCUCAACCGCGGGACUGCUUUUGCACCUGUGUAGCUAGAGUGCAGGAGAGGUG